UCUCUUGUGCUCGGGCACGUACUGUCGCUAGUGAGGUCUUUACCGAAGCACAGUCUUUUGCUAGUUGCAAAUUACACAUCCGAACACGUCUCUUGACUUCGGUCUUGGGCAAUUUUUGGCAACCAUUUCUCGCUUUUUUGUUGG
rnacentral:snRNA from 1 species